rnacentral:miRNA from 1 species
GCUCGAGGAAGCUGGAGAUGA